rnacentral:lncRNA from 1 species
GGAGAUAAAACAUGAGGGCUUAAUAAACUUACUACACAUGCAUAGAAUCACAAAGCUCAUUUUCUAAAAUGAACAAAGUAAAAACUCAUUUUCUAAAAUGAACAAAGUAAAAACCAUAAAAAAAAAACUCAACAAUACACGUUAAGUGAACUGAACAAUGUAUCUAUCUGACUCAAGUAACUAAACUCAACAAAGUAGUGUUGCCCUGACUAAGCUGUAGAUACUUAUAUUUGAUCUCGCUCUCAAAGGCUCGUCUAGGCUUGUCGAAGUAGAGUCAUUCCCUGAUUGUCUCCCCUUCAAGAAAUGUAAUAUAAAAAAGCUCUACAACAAUGAAAAGAAUCACUAUAAAUACACAUCAAUUGAUACAACUCACUAGAACAAAAUAAAGAGCAUCAAGGAAAAACAAGUAAUUAUAAUAAAUAAAACAAGAAAAGAAAAAUAAAAUCAGGAAAAUGGGAAAAAGUUAGAAAGCAACAUAAAGGUUUUACUAGGAGGAUUCCAUGAAGAUUUCCUUGUUGCAGCACCAUCACAUAAGAGUAUUACAACAUAUGAGUAUUUCAACUUCUUUGGCUUGUGUCUUUGCAUGAAGAGCAGCAAACAAAUGACCAUCCUUAAAGCCAAUUCCCCCAAGACGCAAUAUUGGAAUAAUUCCAAGAAGGCCUUCAUAAAAGAGACAUUUUGCACUCCUCAAAUCCAAAAAGUAGAUUGACAUUUACUCUUCAAACCCUUGGGCAUUGAUCCAUUUCUUUUCUUCCACCAAAAUUAUCUUAGCAGCAACUUAAGAAAAAGAAAUCGCAAUGAAGUGCCAACCCAAUAUAUAAUGUUCGUUUAGGUUGCAAAACAGAACGUACCUAGAAGGAAAAAAUGAAGGAAAAAAACUAUGGAGAAAACUGAUAAAGUAUUGUUUAUUUCAUUUUCAAAAGUAUUGAGUAUUGACUUAUGCUUAAUUCUUAUUCAAAUAAAGCAUUCACUGUUUUUUCUUCUCCUAUCAUGUGGGUUUGUUGGCUAAUCUACAGUUUUGUGAAUUUGAAUGAAAAGUUAUUGAUGUUUUUCAGCAUUUCCUCCGAAUACCAAUUCCAUCCAUCAUCAUUCUUCUAUGUAUAAUAAAUCUCCAACAGUAAAAUGGAAGCAACAAAGAAUGUUGAGCAUUUUGAUAUAUAGUCUAAGAAACUAUUUACUUGUAACAAUUAAGAGCAAAUCAACAAUUAAAGAGUGAUCUAUGAAAAGUUUGAUUAUGAUAAGUCAUCAUCUCAAAGUAAUAAUUUGCUUAGCCUAACAACUAUCCAUAUCCAAUGCUAGAUUUCUCCCAACUAAAAUAUCAAACUUCCAGUACACACUAAGAACACAUCCAAAUGAGAUACAUCAAAUCCAAAACACUACUGAAUCAUCAUUAAUUGAAAGGAUCAUCGAGAAACAAAACAAGGUAUAUUAUACACAAAAUUGGUAAGUCCCAUGUACCAAUCAUAUCAAAGCUUUGAUUGAAUCUAAAGUAGAUAAGUACAAUAUACGACCAAACAAACAAAACCCGAAAGAAAAAAAAAAGCAAACGAAACGAAGAAACAUCAAGAUCAAAAAGAAAAAUCACAUUGGGUUAUCGAUCACAUAUGAGUUCAGAAAGAAAUGAAGUGCAAUCGAAUUGAUUCAACUGGCCUGCUUGAAGAUCUCUCGAACCCUUGUGAAGAUGAGGGGUGAAGGAGAAAGAAAUGAUUAGGAAAUGCAAGAAAGCGGAAUGGGGGAAGGAGAAGGCCGCAGAGUUGGCUAAAAAGAAAGAUAUAGAAAUUGUUGACACACAAUCCAUAAGACCCAGACUUUAGUUUCAGUGAAAUUGUUGUUGUUGUCCAAGUCGCCCAAUGGAUGUCGUUGCUACCCAAGUCACCGCCACUCCAUCUGAUCGAUUGUCUCCGUUUGUUGGUUGGGAUUUGUUAUCUAUGUAAAUGGAGUCACCUGCGAGCAGCAGAAUAUGUGUUGCGUGAGGAGAAAUCUUUUUUAAACUAAAGGGUAAUUUAGAUAUUUCACAUACCCAUUUGUCCCAAAACUCUUCUUUUUAAAAUUUGGUCUCAAAAGUCGUCAAAUUUGUACACAUUUGGGCAAUUUCCCAAUAAACAGCUAUUAAAUAAAUCAUUAAUGAUGGUCACAUGCAUAGUGAAAAUAUUAGACACAAUUCAAUCAAAUGAAGAAGACAGAGGAAGAAUCAAAGUCUUCACAAUUUAUGAAAACCAACCUCCCAUUGAACUUUCAAAAACUUACAACCAAAGAAAACAAAACCAGCAAAUAUAUAUAACAAUAAUAUAAUUAGAAACACAAAUAC